CUGAAUUGCCAACACGAGUUGUUGCUGGUCCUCGACCCCGGGGGCAUGUGCACGCUCUGUUUGUAUAUCCACUCACACCUGUGCACCUUCUGUAGUUCUGUGGCUGGGAGGGCUCUGUCCCCCUGCUGUGGUUCUGCAUCUUUACACACACACUGUAAUAAAGUCUUAUGGAAUGCAUGCAGCGUCUAACGCAAUACAAUA
rnacentral:misc_RNA from 2 species